rfam:TPA: Aspergillus nidulans FGSC A4 chromosome III
GUCAGUGUGGCCGAGUGGUUAAGGCGGUAGAUUCGAAUGCCUUAUUUGAGGAUAGGAUCGAUUAUCUACUGGGUUCGCCCGCGCCAGUUCGAAUCUGGUCGCUGACG